UUUUGACCAGAUCUCCCUAAAAACCGUACGUGCGGGUCUCCCCGCAUGCGGCUCACGCCAUUCGAGGUGGCCCAGCCCCCUGGAUGUGCUAGCGAUCGGCACACAGAGGGUGUUGGGUUUCUCGGCCUGGUAUCCAACACCUCGCGUUCAUGAUAUCUACAUUCAACUGUGCCCCGGAGACACGGUCGAAGCACGCCCGCCCGGUGUGCUUCUUUCACGACAUGCUCUGGUCCC
rnacentral:lncRNA from 1 species